AUUGAACGCUGGCGGCAGGCAUAACACAUGCAAGUCGAACGAGUGGCGGAAGUGUUUGUUAUGUCUAGGAAUCUGCCUGAUGGAGGGGGAUAACCAAGGGACACGGUUGCUAAUACCGCAUAACAUAGGAUGGGCCAAGAUGGGAUUAGCUAUGUGGUGGGGUAAAGGCUCACCUAGGCGACGAUCCCUAGCUGGUGUGAGCGGAUGACCAGCCACACAGGAACUGAGAAACGGUCCAGACUCCGACGUGAGGCAGCAGUGGGGAAUAUUGCACAAGGGGCGCAAGCCGGAUGCAGCCAUGCCGCGUGUAUGAAGAAGGCCUUCGGGUUGUAAAGUACUUUCAGCGGGGAGGCGUUACCCGCAGAAGAAGCACCGGCUAACUCCGUGCCAGCAGCCGCGGUAAUAC
rnacentral:rRNA from 1 species